rnacentral:rRNA from 1 species
AUUGAACGCUGGCGGAAGGCCUAACACAUGCAAGUCGAGCGAGCGGCGGACGGGUGAGCAAUGUCUGGGAAACUGCCUGAUGGAGGGGGAUAACUACUGGAAACGGUAGCUAAUACCGCAUACCAUCAGAUGUGCCCAGAUGGGAUUAGCUAGUCGGUGGGGUAACGGCUCACCUAGGCGACGAUCCCUAGCUGGUCUGAGAGGAUGACCAGCCACACUGGAACUUAGACACGUUCCAGACUCCAACGGGAGGCAGCAGUGGUGAAUAUUGCACAACUGGCGCAAGCCGGCUGCAGCCAUGCCGCGAGUGUGAGUUAGACCUUCGGGUUGUAUAGCACAUUCGGCAGUGAUGCGUUACCCGCAGAAGAAGCAACGGCAAACUCCGUGCCAGCAGCCGCGGUAAUUC